rnacentral:rRNA from 1 species
AUUGAACGCUGGCGGCAUGCCUUACACAUGCAAGUCGAACGGCAGCACGGGUGCUUGCACCUGGUGGCGAGUGGCGAACGGGUGAGUAAUACAUCGGAACAUGUCCUGUAGUGGGGGAUAGCCCGGCGAAAGCCGGAUUAAUACCGCAUACGAUCCACGGAUGAAAGCGGGGGACCUUCGGGCCUCGCGCUAUAGGGUUGGCCGAUGGCUGAUUAGCUAGUUGGUGGGGUAAAGGCCUACCAAGGCGACGAUCAGUAGCUGGUCUGAGAGGACGACCAGCCACACUGGGACUGAGACACGGCCCAGACUCCUACGGGAGGCAGCAGUGGGGAAUUUUGGACAAUGGGCGAAAGCCUGAUCCAGCAAUGCCGCGUGUGUGAAGACGGCCUUCGGGUUGUAAAGCACUUUUGUCCGGAAAGAAAUCCUUGACUCUAAUACAGUCGGGGGAUGACGGUACCGGAAGAAUAAGCACCGGCUAACUACGUG